GACGAACGCUGGCGGCGUGCCUAAUACAUGCAAGUAGAACGCUGAAGAGAGGAGCUUGCUCUUCCUGGAUGAGUUGCGAACGGGUGAGUAACGCGUAGGUGACCUGCCUUGUAGCGGGGGAUAACUAUUGGAAACGAUAGCUAAUACCGCAUAACAAUGGAUGACACAUGUCAUUUAUUUGCAAGGGGCAAUUGCUCCACUACAAGAUGGACCUGCGUUGUAUUAGCUAGUAGGUGAGGUAAUGGCUCACCUAGGCGACGAUACAUAGCCGACCUGAGAGGGUGAUCGGCCACACUGGGACUGAGACACGGCCCAGACUCCUACGGGAGGCAGCAGUAGGGAAUCUUCGGCAAUGGGGGCAACCCUGACCGAGCAACGCCGCGUGAGUGAAGAAGGUUUUCGGAUCGUAAAGCUCUGUUGUAAGUCAAGAACGGGUGUGAGAGUGGAAAGUUCACACUGUGACGGUAGCUUAACAGAAAGGGACGGCUAACUACGUG
rnacentral:rRNA from 1 species